GACAGAGGGUGCAAACGUUGUUCGGAAUUACUGGGCGUAAAGCGAGUGUAGGCGGUCUGAAAAGUCAGGUGUGAAAGCCCCCGGGCUCAACCUGGGAAUGGCAAUGGAUACUGGCAGGCUAGAGUGCGGUAGAGGGUAGUGGAAUUCCCGGUGUAGCGGUGAAAUGCGUAGAGAUCGGGAGGAACACCAGUGGCGAAGGCGGCUACCUGGACCAGCACUGACACUGAGGCACGAAAGCGUGGGGAGCAAACAGG
rnacentral:rRNA from 1 species